AAGCCAGCCAAUGAAACACCUGAACGUGUUUCUGCAGAAAGUUUUGAAAAGUUGGCAACAGUAAAGCCAUGUUACCAGCCUUUAAGGACAUUAAAGUUGUUAAGAUCCCUGAAAAUGGCUGUAACA
rnacentral:snoRNA from 1 species